rnacentral:antisense_RNA from 1 species
UGCCAGGUGUCCUGCGACUCGAUCACCGUCCUGUCGCCGAAGUGGUCGCCGUCGGCCAGCACGUCCAGGAUCGUCUGAUCGCCGAAUUUGCCCUUGCCGAUCCGCUCGACCUUGCCAUGGGCGAUGAGGUAGAUGGCCUCGGACGGCUGGCCCGCCUCCACGAUCACGUCGCCUGCCUUGAGCUCGCGCUGGACGAACCGGCUCGCCAGCGCGUCGAGGAUCUCGACGUCGUCGAAGCCGCGCAGGAUCGGCAGCUCGCUGAGCUCCUGGGGGAUGACCUGCACCCUGGCGCCGGUGUUGGUGAAGCUCACGCGGCCGUCGCCCACGGCGUAGGUCAGCCGGCGGUUGACGCGGAACACGCCGCCGGACACCUGCACCCACGGCAGGAGCUUGAGCAGCCACCGCGACGUGAUGCCCUGCAUCUGCGGCGGGGACUUGGUGGUCGUCGCGAGGUUGCGAGCGGCCGGCGUCCCGAGGCUGAGCUGGUAGUGCUGCUG